rnacentral:misc_RNA from 1 species
GAUGAAGAACGCAGCGAAAUGCGAUAAGUAAUGUGAAUUGCAGAAUUCAGUGAAUCAUCGAAUCUUUGAACGCACAUUGCGCCCCCUGGUAUUCCGGGGGGCAUGCCUGUUCGAGCGUCAUUUCACCACUCAAGCCUCGCUUGGUAUUGGGCAACGCGGUCCGCCGCGUGCCUCAAAUCGACCGGCUGGGUCUUCUGUCCCCUAAGCGUUGUGGAAACUAUUCGCUAAAGGGUGCUCGGGAGGCUACGCCGUAAAACAAACCCAUUUCUAAGGUUGACCUCGGAUCAGGUAGGGAUACCCGCUGAACUUAAGAAUAUCAAUAAGCGGAGGA